rnacentral:rRNA from 1 species
AAGGCGACGAUGGGUAGCUGGUCUGAGAGGACGAUCAGCCACACUGGGACUGAGACACGGCCCAGACUCCUACGGGAGGCAGCAGUGGGGAAUCUUGCGCAAUGGGCGAAAGCCUGACGCAGCAACGCCGCGUGAGGGACGAAGGCCUUCUGGGUUGUAAACCUCUUUCAGCAGGGACGAUGAUGACGGUACCUGCAGAAGAAGCUCCGGCCAACUACGUGCCAGCAGCCGCGGUAAUACGUAGGGGGCGAGCGUUGUCCGGAAUCAUUGGGCGUAAAGAGCUCGUAGGCGGUUUUGCAAGUCGGGUGUGAAAACUCCAGGCUCAACCUGGAGCCGCCACUCGAUACUGCAAUGGCUAGAGUCCGGUAGGGGACCAUGGAAUUCCUGGUGUAGCGGUGAAAUGCGCAGAUAUCAGGAAGAACACCAGUGGCGAAGGCGGUGGUCUGGGCCGGAACUGACGCUGAGGAGCGAAAGCGUGGGGAGCGAACAGGAUUAGAUACCCUGGUAGUCCACGCCGUAAACGUUGGGCACUAGGUGUGGGAUCCUAUCGACGGAUUCCGUGCCGCAGCU